rnacentral:rRNA from 1 species
AUUGAACGCUGGCGGCAGGCUUAACACAUGCAAGUCGAACGAGUGGCGGACGGGUGAGUAAUGUCUGGGAAACUGCCUGAUGGAGGGGGAUAACUACUGGAAACUGUAGCUAAUACCGCAUACCAUCAGAUGGGCCCAAGUGGGAUUAGGUAGUAGGUGGGGUAAUGGCUCACCAAGGCGACGAUCCCUAGCUGGUCUGAGAGGAUGACCAGCCACACUGGGACUGAGACACGGCCCAGACUCCUACGGGAGGCAGCAGUGGGGAAUAUUGCACAAUGGGCGCAAGCCUGAUGCAGCAAUGCCGCGUGUGUGAAGAAGGCCUUCGGGUUGUAAAGUACUUUCAGCGAGGAGGCGUUACCCGCAGAAGAAGCACCGGCUAACUCCGUGCCAGCAGCCGCGGUAAUAC